rnacentral:misc_RNA from 1 species
AGCAGCCGCGGUAAUUCCAGCUCCAAUAGCGUAUAUUAAAGUUGUUGCAGUUAAAAAGCUCGUAGUUGAAUUUCGGGAUUGACACAUCGGUCGUGCCUUAAGGGGUAUGAACUGGUGUAGCCAAUUUCUCACCUUCUGGAGAACCGCGAUGCCCUUAAUUGGGUGUCGCGGGGAACCAGGACCUUUACUUUGAAAAAAUUAGAGUGUUUAAAGCAGGCAUUUUGCUUGAAUACAUUAGCAUGGAAUAAUAAAAUAGGACGGCAUGAUUCUAUUUUGUUGGUUUCUAGGAUCACCGUAAUGAUUAAUAGGGAUAGUUGGGGGCAUUAGUAUUCAAUUGUCAGAGGUGAAAUUCUUGGAUUUAUUGAAGACUAACUACUGCGAAAGCAUUUGCCAAGGAUGUUUUCAUUAAUCAAGAACGAAAGUUAGGGGAUCGAAGACGAUCAGAUACCGUCGUAGUCUUAACCAUAAACUAUGCCGACUAGGAAUCAGACGAUGUUAAUUUUUUAAUGACUCAUUCGGC